rnacentral:rRNA from 1 species
CGUGCAGGUGGUUUGGUAAGUUGGGUAUGAAAUCUCCUGGCUUAACUAGGAGAGGUUGCUCAAAACUACCAGACUCGAGGACGGUAGAGGAAGGUGGAAUUCCCGGUGUAGUAGUGAAAUGCGUAGAUAUCGGGAGGAACACCAGUGGCGAAGGCGGCCUUCUGGGCCGUUCCUGACACUAAGACGCGAAAGCAUGGGUAGCAAACG